UACGUAGGUGGCGAGCGUUAUCCGGAAUUACUGGGCGUAAAGCGCACGCAGGCGGCUAGAUAAGUCUGACGUGAAAGCUCCUGGCUUAACUGGGAGAGGUCGUUGGAAACUGUCUGGCUUGAGGCGAUGAGAGGGGUGCGGAAUUCCCGGUGUAGUGGUGGAAUGCGUAGAGAUCGGGGGGAACACCAGUGGCGAAAGCGGCACCCUGGCAUUGGCCUGACGCUCAUGUGCGAAAGCGUGGGGAGCAAACAGG
rnacentral:misc_RNA from 1 species